AUCAGAUUCCCCUUUUCUCUCACUCUAUUCUCCCACUCUCCCUCACGCGUUCCCUCACUCACGCUCUCCCUCAACCUCUCGACUCUUUCUCUCUUCCUCUCCAAACCCAUUUUCUUCUUCUUCUGAUACAGCAACAAGAGUUAUCACCAUCACCAUGUUUCCCUUCUCCCUCUCACACCAUCCACCACCGCACCCUCCUCACGCGAGCCCGCAGCCAACCACCGCCACCACCGCGAGCCAAAACGCCACCACCACGCGUUUUUCUCCUCUGGUUCCUCAACCACGACCAGCACCAGUACCACCGUGAGUCCCUCUCCUCCAUGGCUGCAACCACCACGAGCUCCAGCCACCACAGACGUGAAAAAUAAGGAAAAUGAAAACCCUAAAACCGCCACCUUUCAACUCCGAUCUCCGGCGAACCACUGAGUUUUUUGAGAAACCAACCACACCAUGGAACUCCCCUCAACGUGCGCUACAAAACCCCUAAAGAAAUUUUGGAUUCCGACCAGCUUCGCCGGAAACCGCCGCCAGCCACCGUGACCACCGUCUUCUCCGGCCAACCUUCGCCGGAGAUGUCACUGAACUCAGAACCAGGAAGCUCUCCUCCUCCUCUUGCUGAAUUGAUUAUAAAUUUUGGUGUUGUUCAACAUUCAUGGUCCUCAGAGGAAGGCAGAAACUGUUGUUAGAGAGGAUGAAGAAGCAAUACAGAACCUUAGCCAUGAGGCUUAAGGUAGAAAACGAAAUAUUUUUCUGUUUUGGGUAUUGUUUUAAUUCUUGUAGGGGCUGAAAAUGUUUUUGAAAAUGUAAGGGUAUUUGAGAUGGUUAAUCUCUAGUUAGUUCUGUUGUUUAUGUAUAGAUUAAUUCUGAAUGAGCAUGGGUUCGAUAUUAGAUUAGGAGAAGUUUAUGCUGCUGUUGGCCUGUGAUUAUAGUAGCUGCUGUUCUGUCAAAUACGUAGGUUUAAUGACCGAAUUUGAAGAAGUAGUCUUCAUAAGAAUUGUAGCAUUUUCUGUUAUCAAACUUUUUCCACUGGUUUCAUGUAAUUUCAAUUUUCUAUAGCUCAAGUUAUACGCAUUUUAGUGAGCACGGGUUAAGCUGUCCUGUUUCUCACGAACUGCUGUCGUAUUCGAUUUUUCCUGAAUUUUGUACUUCGAAUUUGGACUUGAACAUUUAUGAGGAUUUACAAAACUUGUAGAUGAAGCCAGGAUAAAAAUAUUAGAUUUUUCGGAGUUUAUUUGACGUAUUUAAAAAUUAGCUAAAGUCGUUGUACAGUUGAUGUUCGUUUUGACAAAAUCACUUAUUUCAAGCGAAAAGUGUUGUUUAUGGAAAAGUUUGAGAAAACCUUUCAUUUUAAAAUCAUAUUACAAUGUUUGGAGUAGGAAAACAUCUUUCGAAACUUACUUACGUAUGUUGUUUAUUCGUUUAUGAAAAUCAAGAACGUUCGAGUCUUUACGCACAUUUAUUCGUUAAAAAGUGAUUGCGAAAAGUUUUGAAAGUCGAACGAGUUUUUUUGAGUGUUAUAGAAUAAGUGUUCGAAUAUUACCUCAUUGUUAAUGGAUGCUUAGGAAUAACAUGAUUGGAUAGAGAUAGAACAAUUAAGUUUGGAUUUCCGAGUGAGGAAUUAGACUUCGAAAGGUAUUAAUUAGAAUUGAUUAAGUUGUGAUGAAAAUCUUGAUGUUGGAAGAUGACUUAGGAUUGAAUCUUGAAUUCCAAGAAGUUUAUGAGCUUUACUAUAAAUACUUGACUUUAGAGGGUCUAGAUUUGAAACUUUGGAAGUUCUAGGACUUAGAAGUAAUUAAGGGAUUAAUUGAGGACUAGAACCUGUUUCUUAGAGAUUGAGGACUUAUCUAUAAGUUUGGAAUUUUUGUAGAACCAAAGUGAAGUUUCGAAGAGACUAGGGUUUUGUGUCUAACGAGAUAUCACGAGUUUAAGAUUAAGAGAAAUGAUUCAAUCGUUUUGAAGGAGCUUAUGAGUCUUGAAUAAGUACAUGAUCAUUAGAUAAGAAGAGUUGUUUGUCUUGGAAGUUAACUAUGGUUUAUGGAUUUCUUUAUAAGAGUUAGUGAAUUUGAUAAGAAUUGAUAAUGAUAUGGUGUUCGACUUGAGGUAUCGAUUGCGAGGGUGACGUUGAGACGUUAAGUUGUUGUAAGUGAUUUGAUAAGUAAUCUUGAGGAUAAAGAGAUUAACUUAGGAAGAUGAUGGGAUAAUGUCGUUGCGCGAUGUUGUGUUAAUUGAUUUAGCAAGAAGCUUUGCGUACCUAUUAUUGUGAAAAGCCUCAAUGAGUAUCCUAAUAGAGAUUGAGAACUCUAAGGAAAACGAGAGGAAUAAGUAUUCGUCAUGUGAACUUUUCUACUUUAGCAAAGGUAUAUGAUUUGGUUUUAAAAUCGUUUCAGUAAGUCAACAGCUUUUGAAGCAUCUUAAAUUGUGUUAUUGUUUGUUGUCAUUAUUACGACUUGUCUUGAUCUCUGAAAUUGAUCCUAAUGGGUUAUAACCAUUAUGGGGAUUAGGUUUAACAUACGUUCGCUUCGAGUCAAAUGCCUGAAGUCAUAGUUUAGACUUUGAGUCAGUAGGUUAGCUCAAAUAGUAAUUAUGUUAUGUGUACUCAUGAAGGGUACGAAUGACGGGAGCGCUUGACGACGAAGCUAAAGAAUAAAAGGAAGCGAACUGACACGAGAAAGCAAAGAUGUGUUGGGAUUGAAAUUGUAGUUAGUAUGAGAAUUGGCUAAGACAACGAUAGGUGGUGAUGCGAGCAGAUGCUACUCCAUGUCGAAGAACUAUAGAAGACUCGAAGAAUAGAGUCGGGUGUAAGGCUAUAGCCUUUUGGGUAAAGAGCUUAUCAUUGUUGGUUAAAGCUUAUAGGAUUAUUUUAUAAGUAUUGUUUGAAGUUUUGGGUAGGUUCCGGUGCAUUGCUAUCUUGCGAUUCUCCGAUGUGGAAAUCGUAGGGAGUAUAUCGGAUUUAUGAGUCAUUGUAUAAUAUAUUCCUCGUUGAAUCUAAUUCUAUUCGUUAGGUUUGUAAGUUGGGUUCAUCUGUUGUUACUUCCGGGUACUUGCCUUGUUUAAGGCUGGAUGUAAAUUUAAAUACAGUUGGGAGUAUGAACUUCAUGAUUUAGAAAUACUUUGAAAAUGAAAAAAAAAUAC